ACCUCCAAUAGCGUAUAUUAAAGUUGUUGCGGUUAAAAAGCUGGCAGUUGGAUUUCCGCCGAGGAUGACCGGUCCGCCCUCUGGGUGCGCAUCUGGCUCGGCCUGGGCAUCCUCUUGGAGAACGUAGCUGCCUUUGACUGUGUGGGGUGGUAUCCAGGACUUUUACUUUGAGGAAAUUACAAAUGUUUCAAGCAGGCAUACGCCUUGAACACAUUGAGCUGAGGUAAUAAUUAACAGGGAUAGUUGGGGGCAUUCGUAUUUAACUGUCAGAAGUGAAAUUCUUGGAUUUGUUAAAGACGGACUACUACGAAAGCAUUUGCCAAGGAUGUUUUCAUUG
rnacentral:rRNA from 1 species